rnacentral:snRNA from 1 species
GUGCUCGCUCCAGCAGCAUAUAUACUAAAAUUGGAAUCAUACAGAGAAGAUUAGCAUGGCCCUUGCACAAGGAUGACACGAAAACUCGUGAAGUGUUCCAUAUUUUG